UGGGGAAUAUUGCACAAUGGGCGAAAGCCUGAUGCAGCAAUGCCGCGUGAGUGAUGAAGGCCUUCGGGUUGUAAAGCUCUGUCUUUUGGGACGAUAAUGACGGUACCAAAGGAGGAAGCCACGGCUAACUACGUGCCAGCAGCCGCGGUAAUACGUAGGUGGCAAGCGUUGUCCGGAUUUACUGGGCGUAAAGGAUGCGUAGGCGGAUUUUUAAGUGAGAUGUGAAAUACCCGGGCUUAACUUGGGUGCUGCAUUUCAAACUGGGAAUCUAGAGUGCGGGAGAGGAGAAUGGAAUUCCUAGUGUAGCGGUGAAAGUGCGUAGAGAUUAGGAAGAACACCAGUGGCGAAGGCGAUUCUCUGGACCGUAACUGACGCUGAGGCAUGAAAGCGUGGGUAGCAAACAGGAUUAGAUACCCUGGUAGUCCACGCCGUAAACGAUGAGUACUAGGUGUAGGAGGUAUCGACCCCUUCUGUGCCGCAGUUAACACAAUCAAGUACUCCGCCUGGGAAGUACGAUCGCAAGAUUAAAACUCAAAUGAAUUGACGGGGUCAUAGCUGUUUCCU
rnacentral:rRNA from 1 species